rnacentral:rRNA from 1 species
GACGAACGCUGGCGGCGUGCUUAACACAUGCAAGUCGAACGGAAAGGCCCUGCUUGCGGGGUACUCGCGUGGCGCACGGGUGUGUAACACGCGUGUGUUCUCCCCUCCACUUCGGGGUAUGCCUGGAGAACUGUGUGUCUUACAGGAUAGGGGACCUUCUUCUGGUUAUGGUUGGUAGGAAUUUUCGGUUUGGGAUGAGCUCGCGGCCUAUCAGCCUGUUGGUGGGGUGAUGGCCUACCAAGGCGGCGACGGGUAGGCGGCCUGGGAGGGUGGACGGCCACAAUUGGACCUGGGAACGGCCCAGACGCCUACGGGAGGGAGGAGUGGGGAAUAUUGCACAAUGGGCGGAAGCCUGAUGCAGCGAAGCCGGGUGGGGGAUGACGGGCUUCGGGUUGGAAACUCGCUUCGCUAGGGACGAAGCCUUUUGUGACGGUACUGAGUUAAGAAGCACCGGCUAACUACGUG